AUUUUUAACUGCCUGAUAACAAUUUGGUCCAAAUUGUACAUGCUACACACACAACUUCAAUUGAUCUGUCUCUCUCCUACACUCAGCAGUGGAGUCCCUUCUUUGUAAGGUAAGGCUCUGCCCAAAGCUGCACUCAGCUUCUCAGAGUUGUGCAGUUUUAAGUUCUUGGAAGGUAAAGGUAUUUCUUUUAUUUUAAUAUGGUUUAAUUUCAU